rnacentral:tRNA from 1 species
GCACCGUUAGCUCAGCUGGUAGAGCAUCUGACUCUUAAUCAGGUGGCCGAAGGUUCAAAUCCUUCACGGUGCACCA